CCGGCACGGGUGAGUAACACGUAUCCAACCUGCCGUCUACUCUUGGACAGCCUUCUGAAAGGAAGAUUAAUACAAGAUGGCAUCAUGAGUCCGCAUGUUCACAUGAUUAAAGGUAUUCCGGUAGACGAUGGGGAUGCGUUCCAUUAGGUUGUUGGCGGGUAACGGCCCACCAAGCCUUCGAUGGAUAGGGGUUCUGAGAGGAAGGUCCCCCACAUUGGAACUGAGACACGGUCCAA
rnacentral:rRNA from 1 species